GGCCCCGCCGCAUUUGCCCAGCACGCAGCGGCGGAGCUGUUUGCUGAGUCCCUUGAAGGAUUCCUUAUCAGAAAAGGGCACUUGUCACCCAGUGCCAGUCACAGGCUGCGUAAACGUUAACGGCUGGCUCAGGGAACCGGCCCUGGCAAACACAGCGGCUCGGGGGACCUUCCUCCCCUGGAAAAUGCCGGGGGGGCUUGCCCACCUCGUGUCCCUCGUAUCGCACAACGGCACGUCGCCAGCUGGAGGUGCCUGUGCUGUCCUGCAGCUGCCCGUGCUGGCGGCCCCCUGCCGCUGCUUCCUCAGCGUCCACCCGCGGAUCCCACCGAGACAGCCUGCUCUGUGUCACAGACCCCUGCUGCUGCUCAGGACGGGCGUUGGGGCCACCGCUCGGGUACAGGGGUGCGGCAGCUGGGCGGCAGGCAGGUGCCCAAGGAGAGCCUCUUAUUGCUGGGUACGGUGCCGCAGGAGGGGACGUGUCCCUCUCUGCCGCUUCUUCCCCCACCCACCCGAACGUGCCGCGGCGGGGCUGGAGGGCAGCGCGGCGCCUGGAGCAGCUGCGUCCCCACGUCCUCCCCGCGUCCCGGGGCGAGCACCUGGGGCUGGAUUUCCGCAGAGCCUGCGGCGCACGCCUGGGCCUCCCGGUGACUGACCGGCAGCAGGAGCGCGGCGCUCCUCCGGGGACGGCACGCCGCUGAGGCCAGGGGGCCCGGCACGCUCGGCCCGGCUGCGCUGGGGAUUUGCUGCCCUUUAUCUGGGGAGGGAAGAGCGUCUGAGUGCAACGUGCGCGGGGUCUGCAGGGAGCCCGCUCGCGCCGAUUUAAUGGCAAGCGUGCGGCGCCCUGCUGGAGCUGGCUUUGACGCUCAUGUUCAGAGCUCGCUAGGGCGUAAGUGUGUAACGUCACUGCCUAGGGAAAGUGCCUGCGCUCCCAGGAGCGUGCGUGUGCUCUGCUUCCAGCGCUGCUCGUGCAAACGCGACGGGGUUACAGCAGGACAGGGGGCUUCUGACCUGCAGGUUGUAACUGCCCGAGUGUAAGUGGCGUGCAAAGGUGCAUGGCGGGGUUUCUGUUCUCUCCCCAUCCCCCCGGUCUUUUUUUUUUCCUCCCCAUGAAUUUCACAAGAAUAUUUUCACUGCUGUCAAGGGCACAAGUUCAGCUUCUGAAUGCCCCUUUGUCUUACGCAGCACAGAGGCGUCACGCUCUCCCGCCGUGCCUUCUAGGAAAGGCACCAAAACGUUUCCCCGCGCCCCUGCCAGCGGCGGCGGUGCUCCAGGCGCUGUGCCGGGCCCCGCGGCAGGCGGCGAGGUGGGAGCUGGUGCGGCCGGGCAGUGUCUGCCUGCACGGAGGGUCCUCAGCCUCUGCUGCGGCGCAGGCUGGGAGGGGAGGGAGCAGAGGGCUGCGGGACCGGCCCCGUCUGCCCCCCUCUCGGUCCCCGCGGGGUCGGUGCCUGCAGGGUGCGUGGCUGGCGUCCCGCAGCGCCCCGUGGCUCCGGCUCCGUCCUGGGUGGGAGGGGAAGCAAAGGCAGAGAGGGCAGGGAAGCGAGCACUGAAAAAAAAGGGAGGAGAAGAGGACUGAAGGGGGUCGGGCUGCGCUGCAGGAGCUGGGACGAGGCUGUGGCCGGGGAGCUGUGAGCCGGGCUGGGGGGGAAGAGGGAGCGGUGCCGGGGGUCGGAGGAUGCCGGCGAGGGGGCGGCCGGGGCAGGGUCUCUGUCACCCCCAGCAGAACUGCAAGCGGGCAGAGGCGGCGGCAGCCGGACGUGUCGCAAGACUGCUGGGACAGAGACGCUCAGAGGUGACUCAAAGCUCACUUGACCUCGUUUCGUCAGGCUCGUUGGUUACAGGUACUCCUGAUUCCCAUCCUUUGCUGCUGAGUUGGGGCAGGGAGCGUUUCUUGCCGGACAGCUGCGUGCUGGGCGCAGGGAGCGGUGCCCGUGUGCCCGCUGCUCCUCUCCCCAGGUCUCACCCCGUACGAAGGCGGACGAGUUCUGCCUUGUGGCCAUCCUGUCCCACGGCUGCUGGGGUGACGCGCGGGCUGCCCAAACGAAGCUGGGGUCCGGCUGCCAGCACGUGUCCCCGCACGCACCGCGCUGCUGCUGGGGACGUCGGCUGGCUGCGGGCCGGGGCCCUGGGCAUCCCGCGGGCUGCAGGUACCGGGCUGCCCCCUCGGGGGCUGCAUCUCCUUGCCCAGCUCGUCCGUCAGAGCCAGAGGAACGGGCCUGCUCCCUUGGGCCCCGCUCGGCUGCUGUAGAAGCAUCGUCCUCCUCGUCCAGAGCUCCCCACAGCACUUGGUGCUGCCGGCUCGCGCAGGCUGUCCCGCAGGGAUCGGGGCUGCUCGCCCUCAGCACCUCCACAGACAAGGCCGAAAGCCAGGACCGAGCAGGAGCUGGGGCUCCUCUGCGAGGACAGGCACGAUCUCCUGCCAGCCUUUGACUCGGGCUCUGGAUGGGCACUUCGCUUUCCAGCCAAGUGGAAGCUGACCCCGCUGCCUUCCUUCCCCACAGCCCGCGCCUGCACACACCUCCGCAGCACAACGCUCCCAGCGCUGCUGCUGCUGCUCAGAAAAACAACAAAUAUUUUAGGCAUUCUGCAGCAGCAGCUGAAUUGUAUCAAACUACUUCGUGCAUCUGAGACUUAAAGCCCUGAGCGUACACUUUUGAAGGGGCGCGUUCAGGGAGGCGUUGAAGAGGGGCAGCAGAAUUGCACUCUGUGAAUCCUUUGUGAGCCUACGGUCAGCACCUCUGCGUACGGGAUUUCCUGCAUUUCUUCUCCUCCUCUUCCUCCUUUCUUUUAUUUUGUGUAGGGAUGUUGGUAUGAAAACAGCGCUUGUACUUCCUAAGCCUCCACGUGUUGCUUCGCUCCCCAGCCUCGCUAGAGUAAACGCAGCGCUGUGGAGCCUGCACGAGGUAGGAUCUGCUGGCUUUGGAUGCUGGGCAUUGCCAGCGCUGUGUAAUCUGACCCUGCGUGCGCCCUUUUACCUUCCUUAUCCUGGCUUUUCAAUUCCCAUUUCCACGUGGGAACCCCGUCCCUGCCGGCUGCAGAAACCUCGCGGAUGGGAUUCGGAGCUGGGAAAUGGCACGGCACUCUGUAGGGGGGCUCUGCCGGCAGGGACGUCGGGGUCGGAGCUCGUCAGGCGGAGGUCGGGGUAGUUUGUUGCGGGCUGUGAGUCCCUGGGGCUGGCUGUGGCGGGGACAUUGGGCUCACAGCUGUGCCCCGCCGUGCUGCAGGUGGCCGGGGAAGGGCUCCUGGGUGCAGGCGCACGUGUGGGGCUGGACGGGCUGGACGGGCUGCUCCCCGACAAGGGCAGGGAGGAGGAAGGCGCAGGUGCUGCCCCUCUGCUUCCCCAGCUGCUCCCUGGCGAUGCAGGACCUGGAGUGAUGCGAACAACUGUGCGAGCUUGUCCUCUGCUUGGGAGUGGAGCCUGUGUUUGUCUGAAAGUAAAGCCUGUUUUGAGGGUCUGGGCUUUCCUCAUCAGGGAGUUUGCACCUGGGUUAUGGAUUUGGGACCGGUUUCGCUCAAGACGUGGUGGUGGUGCAAGGACAUGGGCACCGCUAGCAAGAGGAUGCUCUCCUGUUGCCAACCCAGAACAAAGGCACCUGGAAACUUAAUUGUGGGUGUCGGAGCAUGCAGCGGGGACUGAAAGGGUUAAACAUGCUUUGCCGUGUGUU